GAUGAAGAACGCAGCGAAAUGCGAUAAGUAAUGUGAAUUGCAGAAUUCAGUGAAUCAUCGAGUCUUUGAACGCACAUUGCGCCCCCUGGUAUUCCGGGGGGCAUGCCUGUCCGAGCGUCAUUGCUGCCCUCAAGCACGGCUUGUGUGUUGGGCCGUCGUCCCCCUCCUAGGGGACGGGCCCGAAAGGCAGCGGCGGCACCGCGUCCGGUCCUCGAGCGUAUGGGGCUUCGUCACCCGCUCCGUAGGCCCGGCCGGCGCUUGCCGACGACCAUCAAUCUCUUUCUCCAGGUUGACCUCGGAUCAGGUAGGGAUACCCGCUGAACUUAAGCAUAUCAAUAAGCGGUGGA
rnacentral:misc_RNA from 1 species